GGGCAUGAUGGCACAUGCCUGUAGUCCCAGCUACUUGGCAGGCUGAGGCAGGAGAAUUGCUUGAACCCAGGAGGUGGAGUUUGCAGAGAACCGAGAUUGAGCCACGGCACUCCAGCCUGGGUGACAGAUCAAGAUUCCAUCU